rnacentral:rRNA from 1 species
AUUGAACGCUGGCGGCGUGCCUAACACAUGCAAGUCGAUCGGUAACAGGUGUAGCAAUACAUGCUGACGAGAGGCGGACGGGUGAGUAACGCUUGGGAAUCUGCCUAUUAGUGGGGGACAACCCGGGGAAACUCGGGCUAAUACCGCAUACGCUCUACGGAGGAAAGCCGGGGACCGCAAGGCCUGGCGCUAAUAGAUGAGCCCAAGUCGGAUUAGCUAGUUGGUAGGGUAACGGCCUACCAAGGCUACGAUCCGUAGCUGGCUUGAGAGGACGACCGGCCCAAAUGGGACGGAGACACGGCCCAGACUCCUACGGGAGGCAGCAGUGGGGAAUAUUGGACAAUGGGGGAAACCCUGAUCCGGCGACGCCGCGUGGGUGAAGAAGGCCGGCGGGUUGUAAAGCCCUUUCGGUGGGGAAGAAAAGCCUCGACCUAACACGUCGGGGUAUUGACGUAACCCACAAAAGAAGCACCGGCUAACUCUGUGCCAGCAGCCGCCGUAA